UACGUGAGGGGCGAACGUUGUUCGGUGUCACUGGGCUUAAAGGGUGCGUAGGUGGUUUCGUAAGUAAGGUGUGAAAGCCCUCGGCUUACCCGGGGAAUUGCGCCUUAUACUGCGAGACUUGAGGAUUUCAGGGGAAUGGGGAACUCCAGGUGUAGCGGUGAAAUGCGCAGAUAUCUGGGGGAAGGCCGGCGGCGAAGGCGCCAUUCUGGGAAAUUCCUGACACUGAGGCACGAAAGCGUGGGGAGCGAACAGG
rnacentral:rRNA from 1 species